rnacentral:rRNA from 1 species
AGUUUAUGUGCUGAAAGAUGGUCUCGCGUCUGAUUAGCUAGAUGGCGGGGUAACGGCCCACCAUGGCGACGAUCAGUAGCCGGUCUGAGAGGAUGAACGGCCACAUUGGGACUGAGAUACGGCCCAGACUCCUACGGGAGGCAGCAGUGGGGAAUAUUGGGCAAUGGGCGAAAGCCUGACCCAGCAACGCCGCGUGAAGGAAGAAGGCCCUCGGGUUGUAAACUUCUUUUACCAGGGACGAAGAAAGUGACGGUACCUGGAGAAAAAGCAACGGCUAACUACGUGCCAGCAGCCGCGGUAAUACGUAGGUUGCAAGCGUUGUCCGGAUUUACUGGGUGUAAAGGGCGUGUAGGCGGAGAUGCAAGUUGGGAGUGAAAUCCCGGGGCUCAACCCCGGAACUGCUUUCAAAACUGUAUCCCUUGAGUGUCGGAGAGGCAAGCGGAAUUCCUAGUGUAGCGGUGAAAUGCGUAGAUAUUAGGAGGAACACCAGUGGCGAAGGCGGCUUGCUGGACGAUAACUGACGCUGAGGCGCGAAAGCGUGGGGAGCAAACAGGAUUAGAUACCCUGGUAGUCCACGCUGUAAACGAUGAAUACUAGGUGUGGGAGGACUGACCCCUUCCGUGCCGCAGUUAACACAAUAAGUAUUCCACCUGGGGAGUACGACCGCAAGGUUGAAACUCAAAGGAAUUGACGGGGGCCCGCACAAGCAGUGGAUUAUGUGGUUUAAUUCGACGCAACGCGAAGAACCUUACCAGGAUUUGACAUCCAACUAACGAAGUAGAGAUACAUUAGGUGCCCUUCGGGGAAAGUUGAGACAGGUGGUGCAUGGUUGUCGUCAGCUCGUGUCGUGAGAUGUUGGGUUAAGUCCCGCAACGAGCGCAACCCCUAUUGUUAGUUGCUACGAAAGAGCACUCUAGCGAGACUGCCGUUGACAAAACGGAGGAAGGCGGGGACGACGUCAAAUCAUCAUGCCCCUUAUGUCCUGGGCUACACACGUAAUACAAUGGUGGUUAACAGAGGGAAGCAAAGCCGCGAGGCAGACCAAAUCCCUAAAAGCCAUCUCAGUUCGGAUUGCAGGCUGCUAGY